rnacentral:rRNA from 2 species
AUAAUGACUCUCGGCAACGGAUAUCUCGGCUCUUACAUCGAUGAAGAACGUAGCAAAAUGCGAUACUUGGUGUGAAUUGCAGAAUCCCGUGAACCAUCGAGUCUUUGAACGCAAGUUGCGCCCGAAUCCAUUUGGUUGAGGGCACGUCUGCCUGGGUGUCACGU